rnacentral:rRNA from 1 species
UACGAAGGAUUCGAGCGUUAUCCGGAUUUAUUGGGUUAAAGGGUGCGUAGGCGGACUGAUAAGUCAGUGGUGAAAUCCUGUUGCUUAACAACAGAACUGCCAAUUGAUACUGCCAGUCUUGAGUACAGUUGAGGUAGGCGGAAUGUGUCAUGUAGUGGUGAAAUACUUAGAUAUGACACAGAACACCGAUUGCGAAGGCAGCUUGCUAAACUGUAACUGACGCUGAGCACGAAAGCAUGGGGAGCAAACAGG